rnacentral:rRNA from 1 species
AAGUCCCGUAACGAGCGCAACCCCUGUCCUGUGUUGCUAAUCCGCAAGGAUGCACUCUCAGGAGACCGCCAGCGAUAAGUUGGAGGAAGGUGGGGAUGACGUCAAGUCAUCAUGGCCUUUAUGUCCAGGGCUGCACACGUGCUACAAUGGCGUGAACAAAGGGAAGCAAACUCGCGAGAGGGAGCAAAUCCCAAAAAACACGCCCCAGUUCAGAUCGAAGGCUGCAACUCGCCUUCGUGAAGUUGGAAUCGCUAGUAAUCGCGGGUCAGCAACACCGCGGUGAAUGUGUUCCUGAGCCUUGUACACACCGCCCGU